GUUAUUGCAUUGCCCUUAAAUGACGAAUUUGAAGUUCUUUUUAUCAAUUUCUAUCUUUUAUUUUCAAACAUAUAUAUAAAAGUCAUAUAGCAAAAGUGACUUAGGAAGUCAAGAAGAUAUACAAAUAAAUCGACUUGGCCGAUAUCCUAAUAAAACUUUUGACCUUUAAUUGAGAGUUUUUUUUCCCAUUUCAUUGCGUUUUUACACGCCCG
rnacentral:lncRNA from 1 species